AGUGAACGCUGGCGGUAUGCCUAACACAUGCAAGUCGAACGGCAGCACAGUAAGAGCUUGCUCUUACGGGUGGCGAGUGGCGGACGGGUUAGGAAUACAUCGGAAUCUACUUUUUCGUGGGGGAUAACGUAGGGAAACUUACGCUAAUACCGCAUACGACCUACGGGUGAAAGCAGGGGAUCUUCGGACCUUGCGCGAUUGAAUGAGCCGAUGUCGGAUUAGCUAGUUGGCGGGGUAAAGGCCCACCAAGGCGACGAUCCGUAGCUGGUCUGAGAGGAUGAUCAGCCACACUGGAACUGAGACACGGUCCAGACUCCUACGGGAGGCAGCAGUGGGGAAUAUUGGACAAUGGGCGCAAGCCUGAUCCAGCCAUACCGCGUGGGUGAAGAAGGCCUUCGGGUUGUAAAGCCCUUUUGUUGGGAAAGAAAAGCAGCAGGUUAAUACCCCGCUGUUAUGACGGUACCCAAAGAAUAAGCACCGGCUAACUUCGUG
rnacentral:rRNA from 1 species